GAAGCGUGCGAUUGGAUUGCACGUCUAAGCAGUAAGGCUGAGUAUUAGGCAAAUCCGGUACUCGUUAAGGCUGAGCUGUGAUGGGGAGAAGACAUUGUGUCUUCGAGUCGUUGAUUUCACACUGCCGAGAAAAGCCUCUAGAUAGAAAAUAGGUGCCCGUACCGCAAACCGACACAGGUAGUCAAGAUGAGAAUUCUAAGGUGAGCGAGCGAACUCUCGUUAAGGAACUCGGCAAAAUGACCCCGUAACUUCGGGAGAAGGGGUGCUCUUUAGGGUUAACGCCCAGAAGAGCCGCAGUGAAUAGGCCCAAGCGACUGUUUAUCAAAAACACAGGUCUCUGCUAAACCGUAAGGUGAUGUAUAGGGGCUGACGCCUGCCCGGUGCUGGAAGGUUAAGAGGAGUGGUUAGCUUCUGCGAAGCUACGAAUCGAAGCCCCAGUAAACGGCGGCCGUAACUAUAACGGUCCUAAGGUAGCGAAAUUCCUUGUCGGGUAAGUUCCGACCCGCACGAAAGGCGUAACGAUUUGGGCACUGUCUCAACGAGAGACUCGGUGAAAUCAUAGUACCUGUGAAGAUGCAGGUUACCCGCGACAGGACGGAAAGACCCCGUGGAGCUUUACUGUAGCCUGAUAUUGAAAUUCGGCACAGCUUGUACAGGAUAGGUAGGAGCCUUUGAAACGUGAGCGCUAGCUUACGUGGAGGCGCUGGUGGGAUACUACCCUAGCUGUGUUGGCUUUCUAACCCGCACCACUUAUCGUGGUGGGAGACAGUGUCAGGCGGGCAGUUUGACUGGGGCGGUCGCCUCCUAAAAGGUAACGGAGGCGCUCAAAGGUUCCCUCAGAAUGGUUGGAAAUCAUUCAUAGAGUGUAAAGGCAUAAGGGAGCUUGACUGCGAGACCUACAAGUCGAGCAGGGUCGAAAGACGGACUUAGUGAUCCGGUGGUUCCGCAUGGAAGGGCCAUCGCUCAACGGAUAAAAGCUACCCCGGGGAUAACAGGCUUAUCUCCCCCAAGAGUUCACAUCGACGGGGAGGUUUGGCACCUCGAUGUCGGCUCAUCGCAUCCUGGGGCUGUAGUCGGUCCCAAGGGUUGGGCUGUUCGCCCAUUAAAGCGGUACGCGAGCUGGGUUCAGAACGUCGUGAGACAGUUCGGUCCCUAUCCGUCGUGGGCGUAGGAAAUUUGAGAGGAGCUGUCCUUAGUACGAGAGGACCGGGAUGGACAUACCUCUGGUGUACCAGUUGUCGUGCCAACGGCAUAGCUGGGUAGCUAUGUGUGGACGGGAUAAGUGCUGAAAGCAUCUAAGCAUGAAGCCCCCCUCAAGAUGAGAUUUCCCAACUUCGGUUAUAAGAUCCCUCAAAGAUGAUGAGGUUAAUAGGUUCGAGGUGGAAGCAUGGUGACAUGUGGAGCUGACGAAUACUAAUCGAUCGAAGACUUAAUCAA
rnacentral:rRNA from 1 species